UACGUAGGGGGCGAGCGUUGCCCGAAUUUACUGGGCGUAAAGCGCACGUAGGCGGCUCCGUAAGUCUGGUGUGAAAUCUCACGGCUCAACCGGGAGGCUGCACCAGAUACUGCGGGGCUCGAGGACGGGAUAGGAGAUUGGAAUUCCCGGUGUAGCGGUGAAAUGCAUUGAUAUCGGGAGGAACACCAGUGGCGAAGGCGGAUCUCUGGUCCGUUGCUAACGCUGAGGUGCGAAAGCUGGGGGAGCGAAAGGG
rnacentral:rRNA from 1 species